CGGGGUGUAGCGCAGUUGGUAGCGCGCCUGCUUUGGGAGCAGGAUGUCGGGAGUUCGAGUCUCUUCACUCCGACCA
rnacentral:tRNA from 1 species